rnacentral:lncRNA from 1 species
CUGCAUACAAGUGAAUUUUGUUUUGCUUUGGUUUUGCUGUAGCAUAAAUUAACAAGGUGUCAAAUGAACAUCAUGACCCCAUUUUUAUCUCCAGCAGACUAAAUUCAGAGCUGAGAACAGGGCCGCCUUCUGCAGCUCAGCGAAACUGUACGUGGAAAAUUUCACAAGCUCAGCUGGUUCUUGGGGACAGCAAAUCUCCGGUAUCCUGAUCAUCAUCUGGUAAGAACA